AGUUGUCUGCGCGUUGGACUCGCAAUCUGAAGGUCACGUGUGGGUUAGAGUCCUAUACC
rnacentral:tRNA from 1 species